CCAAUAGCGUAUAUUAAAGUUGUUGCAGUUAAAAAGCUCGUAGUUGAAUUUCGGGACCAAUUUGUUGGUCGUGCCUCGGUACGUACUGGUAUUUUUGGUUUCUCCCUUCUGAAGAACCUCGAUGCCAUUAAUUUGGUGUCGUGGGGAAUCAGGACUGUUACUUUGAAAAAAUUAGAGUGUUUAAAGCAGGCAUACGCUUGAAUACAUUAGCAUGGAAUAAUGAAAUAGGACGUUUGAUUCUAUUUUGUUGGUUUCUAGGAUCGACGUAAUGAUUAAUAGGGAUAGUUGGGGGCAUUAGUAUUCAAUUGUCAGAGGUGGAAUUCUUGGAUUUAUUGAAGACUAACUACUGCGAAAGCAUUUGCCAAGGAUGUUUUCAUUAAUCAAGAACGAAAGUUAGGGGAUCGAAGACGAUCAGAUACCGUCGUAGUCUUAACCAUAAACUAUGCCGACUAGGGAUCGGAUGAUGUUAAUUUUUUAAUGACUCAUUCGGCGCCUUACG
rnacentral:rRNA from 1 species